AAACUUUUGUCGAAAAAUAAAAUGGGAUUUUUCAAAUAACCUUCGAAAAUUUCCUCUGGCAACAUCGUGAUUCUGCAUUUGGAAGAACUCAGCUGCUCCAACAACUUCGAUAGUUCUUUAGGAGAGAAAUGUGGUACGAAGCAUUACCUAGUUUGUUUUUGACCGGUUUCUUUGUAUGCCUCCCAUAUGGCCUUGUUCCGGUUAUUCACAAAAUCUUCCAAAAUGGGAAUGCUUCAAAAUAAAACCCAUGAUAGGUUUUUCUAUAGAAGGGAUACUCGUUUGACUGGUAACCCUUAUGUGCUGAAGGGUUUGGAAUCUAUCCCUGAUUAGACAAACAGAUUCAGGUCUCAGUGUUACCAUAGAGGAUUUGAUGAAAUAAAUGUAUUAGUGGGAAAGAAGAAUCAAUUUGUCAUUAAUGAUUGUAUGUUGAACCUGGUUAUCUACCAAAAGCUUUGAAUCAGUCUUACCUAUUUCUCCUCUGAGCUAACUUGUUUGGUUUCUCAGAUGAUAUGAAACUUUAUUACUUCAAGUUCCCUUUUGGAUUGUGUACAUGGUAAAUAUCAAUUCAAAGAAAUUGCUUUGAAUUGAUAAGUUCCACAUCAUGAAAAUCAUCAGAAUGGAGCAAACAGUGCUAAUUUGAUCUUUUAUUUGAUUUGUGUGUCGAUGAGAUUUGUGGCAGCACUUUUGUCAGUAUCAUUUGAACACAGAACAUUUUAUGCCCUGAAUUUACAUAGAAACAGAAGUGGAAACAGA
rnacentral:lncRNA from 1 species